UUUGCAAUAACAGGUCUGUGAUGCCGUUAGAUGUUCUGGUCCGCACGCGCGAACACUGAUGCAUUCAACGAGCCUAUCCUUGGAUGAGAGGCCCGGGUAAUCUUUGAAAUUGCAUCGUGAUUGGGAUAGAUGAUUGCAAUUAUUAGUCUUCAACGAGGAAUGCCUAGUAAGCACGAGUCAUCAGCUCGCGUUGAUUACGUCCCUGCCCUUUGUACACACCGCCCGUCGCUCCUACCGAUUGGGUGUGCUGGUGAAGUGUUAGGAUUGGCUUCAGUUGGUGGCAACAUUGACUGAGGCUGAAAAGUUCCCUAAACCCUCCCACCUAGAGGAAGGAGAAGUCGUAACAAGGUUUCCGUAGGUGAACCUGCGGAAGGAUCAUUG
rnacentral:rRNA from 2 species